rnacentral:lncRNA from 1 species
GGUAAAAUGCGGAAAUGAAUAUACUGUUAUUCAAAAUCAAUUUCUCAGCCAUGCCCUUAGUGCACCAAUGAAGGAUUGGCAGGCACACCAGCAGCUGCCUUUAGUCAAUGCACUACUUUUGUGGCCGGAAAAAACUUGUCACGUGUUGAUGAAAAGCGAAGGUAGCGCUCCUCCUUUGGCGAUAGUUUUUUUGGUCUACGAGAUAUCGACCUAUCAUGUGCAGUUGCAAUUUGUCGAAAUUUGUUUGUUAGUCUCUAAACUGUUGCCGUAUGCACAUUAAAUCGA